UCUGGGUUGCUACCAGGCAGGCUGUACCACUUCUCUCUGAGGACGGAGAAAGAGUUCUUCACAGACAGCCCCCCUGUCACACUCAGCAUCACUACAGCUCCCAGUCCAGUGGAGGUAUCAGUCCUCAGUAAGACCACAUCAUCUGUGACAGUCGGCUGGACCCAGGCCAGGGAAGUUGUCAAAAGCUUCAUCCUGUCAAUCAUAAACCAAACCUCCAAUCAGCAGCUGAACCUACCAGCCCAAGAGCCAUGGUCUUACAGGUUUGAGGACCUCUCCCCAGGAAGCUAUUACACAGUAGAUGUUAUCAGCAGCAAUGGAGAGAGGAGGAGUACACCGGCUUCUGUAGACAUCAACACCAUCCCAGGAGCCCCACAGGAAGUGCUGCUGGUAAAAGAGGAUGUGACCUCAUCAGUGUUUGUGAGCUGGGGAGCCCCAGCAGG